AAGACUAUACUUUCAGGCAUCAUUUCUAUAGAUUCUGAGUUGAGAAAUGUGUUUCUAAAGUGUUCGGUCUCGCCAACCACAAUGAAGAGUCUUCAUACUUCUUCCUGAGUGACAAGUGGAUAGAAAGAAAUGAUUUAUUUCAUCUGCUUUCUAUCAUUGAUGACUGUUCAUUUCCUCUCCUAGGGGGUGAUGAGGGGAGGAGUAUGGUCAGAGUGAU